rnacentral:tRNA from 1 species
CAAAGUGUAGCUUAAAUUAAAGCAUCCGGCCUACACCCAGAAAAUUUCAACUCACUUGAACACUUUGA